rnacentral:rRNA from 1 species
UCCCAGACUCCUACGGGAGGCAGCAGUGAGGAAUAUUGGUCAAUGGGCGGGAGCCUGAACCAGCCAAGUCGCGUGAGGGAUGACGGCCCUAUGGGUUGUAAACCUCUUUUGCCGGGGAGCAAAGUGCCGCACGUGUGCGGUUUGGAGAGCACCCGGAGAAAAAGCAUCGGCUAACUCCGUGCCAGCAGCCGCGGUAAUACGGAGGGUGCGAGCGUUAAUCGGAAUUACUGGGCGUAAAGCGCACGUAGGCUGUAUGACAAGUCAAGGGUGAAAUGCCACGGCUCAACCGUGGAACUGCCUUUGAAACUGUCAAACUGGAGUAUGUGAGAGGGCGGCGGAAUUCCUGGUGUAGGAGUGAAAUCCGUAGAUAUCAGGAGGAACAUCAGUGGCGAAGGCGGCCGCCUGGCACAAAACUGACGCUGAGGUGCGAAAGCGUGGGUAGCAAACAGGAUUAGAUACCCUAGUACG